GCCAAGAUUGAGACCUGGAGAACGGCCUCCUUCUGCCCCCUUGCCUGCCCGGCUAACAGCCACUACGAGAUGUGUACCAGAUCCUGCGAUUUCACCUGUGCCAGCUUGUUUGCCCCUGCCCAGUGCACCGGGAAGUGCUUUGAAGGCUGCUGGUGUGAUCCAGAAUAUGUGUCCGAUGGGGAGACAUGCGUCUCCAUGGACAGGUGUGGCUGUGUGCACAAUGGACGCUACAUCAAGGCCGGGGAGAGCUUUUUCUCCAGCAACUGCUCUGAGA